CAGUCGCCGCGGGAAUACGAAGGGUGCAAGCGUUACUCGGAAUUACUGGGCGUAAAGCGUGUGUAGGUGGUUGUUUAAGUCUGUCGUGAAAGCCCUGGGCUCAACCUGGGAAUUGCGAUGGAUACUGGGCGACUAGAGUGCGGUAGAGGAUAGUGGAAUUUCCGGUGUAGCAGUGAAAUGCGUAGAGAUCGGAAGGAACAUCUGUGGCGAAAGCGGCUCACUGGACCAUAACUGACGCUGAGGCACGAAAGCUAGGGGAGCAAACAGGAUUAGAGACCCGAGUAGUCCCUGUCUCUUAUAC
rnacentral:rRNA from 1 species